rnacentral:sRNA from 1 species
GGGGAUGUACCGGUUUCGACAGGAGUUUCCGGUUCAUAAAUAGCGAGUCGGGAUUCCAUCAACCCCGCUAAACGGUGGAAAAACUUAAACGCAAAACGUGAUUUUGCUUUAGCAGCCUAAUCUGCUAAUGUCCCCGGAAGUUUUCCUAUGACUUCCGGCUGACAUCAACCAAUAGGAUACCAAUGAGGGAUCUUGCGGGACCUCUGCGGGAAACCAAUUCCGGAAUCGGCAAAGGCAGUUUGCUCCUGUACGAUACUUUGCUUAAACCUCAAACAGAGAGCUGCACUCGGAGAAGUUUAUGGGACGGGCUUUUUGGACAGGGGUUCGACUCCCCUCAUCUCCACCA